rnacentral:rRNA from 1 species
UACGGGGGGAGCAAGCGUUGUUCGGAUUUACUGGGCGUAAAGGGCGCGUAGGCGGUCAGCACAAGUCAGUUGUGAAAUCUCCGGGCUUAACUCGGAAAGGUCAACUGAUACUGUGCGACUAGAGUGCGGAAGGGGCAACUGGAAUUCUUGGUGUAGCGGUGAAAUGCGUAGAUAUUGGGAAGAACACCGGUGGCGAAGGCGGCGACCUGGUCCUUGACUGACGCUGAGGCGCGAAAGCGUGGGGAGCAAACAGG